ACUCAAAGGAAUAGACGGGGACCCGCACAACCGGUGGAGCGUGUGGUUCAAUUUGAGACGAAGCAAAAAACCUCACCAGGGCUUGACAUGAUACCGUUUAUGCUCUAAGAAACUAGAGCAAAUCCGCAAGGAUGGUACCACAGGUGCUGCAUGGCUGUCAUCAGUUCGUGCCGUGAGGUGUUCCAUUAAGUUGGGAAACGAACGCAACCCGCGUCCAAUGUUAAAUAUUCAUUGGAGACUGACCUAGUUUUUCUAGGAAGGAAGGAGCGGAAGAUGUCAAGUCAGCAUGGUCCUUAUGCCCUGGGCUACACACACCCUACAAUGGCGAAGAACAAUGAGUCGCAAGCUAGUAAUAGCAAGCUAAUCUCAGAAAUUUCGCCUCAGUUCAGAUUGAGGGCUGCAACUCGCCCUCAUGAAGUCGGAAUCGGUAGUAAUCGCGAAUCAGCAGGUCGCGGUGAAUACGUUCUCGGGUCUUGUACACACCGCCCGU
rnacentral:rRNA from 1 species